GACGAACGCUGGCGGCGUGCCUAAUACAUGCAAGUCGAGCGGACGGAUGGGAGCUUGCUCCCAGACCGUCAGCGGCGGACGGGUGAGUAACACGUGGGCAACCUGCCUGUAAGACUGGGAUAACUCCGGGAAACCGGUGCUAAUACCGGAUAACUCUUUCCCUCACAUGAGGGAAAGCUGAAAUAUGGCAUCUCGCUAUCACUUACAGAUGUGCCCGCGUCGCAUUAGCUAGUUGGUGAGGUAACGGCUCACCAAGGCGACGAUGCGUAGCCGACCUGAGAGGGUGAUCGGCCACACUGGGACGGAGACACGGCCCAGACUCCUACGGGAGGCAGCAGUAGGGAAUCUUCGGCAAUGGACGAAAGUCUGACGGAGCAACGCCGCGUGAGUGAUGAAGGUUUUCGGAUCGUAAAACUCUGUUGUCAGGGAAGAACCAGUACCGGAGUAACUGCCGGUAACUUGACGGUACCUGAACAGAAAGCAACGGCUAACUACGUG
rnacentral:rRNA from 1 species